rnacentral:rRNA from 1 species
GCGGCGUGCCUAAUACAUGCAAGUCGAACGCUUCUUUCCUCCCGAGUGCUUGCACUCAAUUGGAAAGAGGAGUGGCGGACGGGUGAGUAACACGUGGGUAACCUACCCAUCAGAGGGGGAUAACACUUGGAAACAGGUGCUAAUACCGCAUAACAGUUUAUGCCGCAUGGCAUAAGAGUGAAAGGCGCUUUCGGGUGUCGCUGAUGGAUGGACCCGCGGUGCAUUAGCUAGUUGGUGAGGUAACGGCUCACCAAGGCCACGAUGCAUAGCCGACCUGAGAGGGUGAUCGGCCACACUGGGACUGAGACACGGCCCAGACUCCUACGGGAGGCAGCAGUAGGGAAUCUUCGGCAAUGGACGAAAGUCUGACCGAGCAACGCCGCGUGAGUGAAGAAGGUUUUCGGAUCGUAAAACUCUGUUGUUAGAGAAGAACAAGGACGUUAGUAACUGAACGUCCCCUGACGGUAUCUAACCAGAAAGCCACGGCUAACUACGUGCCAGCCGCCGCGGUAAUU